CGGUCAUGUGGCUGGGGGAGUGGCCAGUGCCCACAAGUACCAACAUCAGCUUCUGCAGGUUUUCCAGCACCCCCACCCAUCUCCAGCUUUGAGUCCUUCGUGAGGCUCUCUAGGACCUUCAUGGAGUUGUUCCGCUCCUCAUCCUCACACUCCUUCUGCACACGCUUCUCUUCCUCCUCCAGGAGCGUCUCGGCCUGGAAGCUGCGUGUGGCCCCAUGCUCCACGGUGUAGUCCGUGUCUUGAAGGUGAUCUCCGCCAAGCAGCGCAUGCACUUGAUGUAGAAGCGGAAGACAGGCCCAGACAGGCCUCGUUCUGGGCCAUUUCUUGGUGUGCACUGUACUUCUUUCCCUUGUAGAUAUAUAUUCUCCACAUGUCUUACACCUCAUGUUGAAGGGGGCCAUCAGCCGAACCACGUACUGGUCCUUGGGUAGCUUGAGUGUCGGGAUCUUUGACGGGUCGAAGUCAGCAACGUGUCUUCUCUGCCUCCUCAAGAAACAGAUGCCUGAGGUCUCCAGAAUGGCAGUUAACCAAAUACUUCUUCACUCACACCUCCCACUGAGCGUGACCCCACCAACUCCCAGCUUCCCCUCCCCAUGUCAUCCUAUGCCCACAGGAAGUAGCUAGACUUGAACGGGCACCCCUAUACCCAAGGAGUCUUGGGAUGAUUAGGUGGAAGCCCCACCUCUCUUUCCCUAGACCCCACCCCUAAGAAAUCCCACCAAGAGUCAGCACCUCCCCAGGGCUGCUCAGGACUGCACCUACAGGCUACUUAAGACCUGGUUGCCAUACCUGCUCUGUGCUCUCUCCCCUGCCUUCCGAGAGUCACCCAGGAGUGCUUUGCUCUGCUCAUUAAACCUGGACUUAAUAA